rnacentral:lncRNA from 1 species
CUCGUACGAGCAAUGUACUCGAAUGGUAUAGAUGUCGAAAUUGUGUUGCUUUGAUCAUCCUUGCUCCUCAAAUCGAUGACUCUCCUUUCAAUUCCAUUGAGAAAAAUUCCAGGUCCCCGACCUUAUCCGUUAAGAAUUUUGAAUUGUGAGUGCUCCCACAUCGAUUUCCAUCUCCAAAUUCCUCCCAUAAGUUUUUCUAUAUAAACC